UAAUGGCCAAAAAGCUCAACCUUUUCACCCUUCUUCUCCUUAUAUUUCUCAUCUCAUUAUGCUUUGAGAAUAUAGUUCCAAGAAUUGAUGCUGGUAAGACAUCGCAUAAUGACCCUCGUCGGGGCCGGGCACGUGGCCGUAGCCGUAGCCGUACUCGUAGCCAUGGACAUGGACAUGGACAUGGGCAUGGGCAUGGUCAUGGACAUGGACAUGGUAAACAAAGCCAUCAUGCAAUUCAUCAUCCCCAUCCCAUUCCCCAGGGUGAGGGAUUUAACUUCAAAGACCGGGCAGGUGGGAAAUAAUGUGCCCAUUACUGGAUCUCGUGCUAGUUAGUAUGAAAACUUCAAUAGCAAUAUGGAUUUUUUUUUUGAAGGGCCAAUAGCAAUAUAUAUGAAUGUUAUUGUUUGCUUCAAGUAUUUUUCUUAAGCAUUAGAUAUAUAGGUACGUUUAAUUCGAUUUCUUGGAUCAAAGAUCCUCAUGCUGCUAGUAUUUUGUUUUGUCAUUUUGCUUGGUUCGGAUGUAUGUUCAUUGCCUUUGAUCUUGUUGUAUAUAAGUUCCUAAAUUCUCUCUAGAUUUAUUUAUGAAAUAUUUCUUUUUCAUUGUUUCAAAUACUAAGGAGGUGUUUGUAUAAAAAAAAAAAUAAAUAAAUAAAUAAAUAAACUGAUUACUUAUUAACUUGUAGUUUAUUAGGUUAUUGUAUAAACUAACAAGUUAGAGGGAGUUAAGUUAUAUAAAAAUGACUUAUUAGCAGUUUAUCACUUUUUUAUUCAAACAUUUUUUUUAGUUUACAGUGGUUUAGAAUCGUUAAUAAACUAAACAAACACUCUCUUAAAUGAAUAGUUAAGUUUAAAUGCAAAUGAUGUAGUAAAAUAACCUCCCUUUGUAAUACCUUACACAUGUUUGAAAUGGAAACACAAACCAAAAGCUUUCAUAAUUCAUUUAUUUGUCAAUUGUAAAGAAAUUAGUCAAUAUGUAAGAAUGAAGCACGAAUGUAACAGCUCGGAUUUCCAGGUAUCUUUUAUUCAUAUAUUUUUGGUGUUUUGUGAGGGGACUCGGCGAGUUGGAGCUCAAACUCGCCGAGUAGGAUCGCGGUUCUGGACGCGGGUUCGCGCCUAGACUCGGCGAGUCCAAGGAAUGGACUCGGCGAGUCCGCGCUGUUUAAUGAAACCCUAAUUUCCCGGUCCUAAGCCCUAUUUAAAUGACCUUAUGGCCCUUCAUUGCGGCUAUCUUGACCUUGAGAGCACCUAAUCAGCUGAGGGUUCUUGUGAGUAAGAAAAGAGGCCAUUAUUCACCAAUUUUGUGUGUAUUUGCAAGAAAGGAAGGGGAAAAUCAAGCUAGGAGAGUUGGGGAGCUUGGAUCUACUUCCAUUUCGUCAGAGGAAGCUUCUUGAGGAGGAUUAUAGCUCGGAGGAUCGAGCACGAGUGAUUUCCAGGAUUCGCAAGUUAUCGAGAUAUACGAGGUACUAGUGAUUACCGUGGGAAGGCGCCGACUUGAUCUGUACACACGCAUGGGGUUUUUAUGAUAUGUGAUCUUGGGAUUUUGUAUGAUAUGGAUUGGAGUUUUAAACUUGAUGUUUUAUG